rnacentral:tRNA from 1 species
GGGCGAUUAGCUCAGUUGGCUAGAGCGCAUCGUUUACACCGAUGAUGUCACUGGUUCGAGUCCGGUAUCGCCCA